GCAAGUAUCCGCGUUCCAGUGCGUAUGCCUUGAGUUCCCUAACCUAGAUAGACAAGAGCGGGCAUCAGGCACACCCCCCCCACCCAACCGGUAGCCCAAGACGUCUAGCAAUUGCCACACCCCCACGGGUCCUCAGCAGUAGUUAGUAUUAAGCCAUGAGUGAAAACUUGACUUAGUUACAGCAAUUUAGGGCCGGUAAAUCCUGUGCCAGCCACCGCGGUCAUACAGGAGGCCCAAACUGACUUUACCAGACGGCGUAAAGUGUGGUCACAUGCUAUCCAAGUAGCUAAGAUCAAAAAGCAGCUGAGCUGUCAUAAGCCCAUGAUGCCCAUAAGGCCGCUAUUCAAAGAAAAUCUUAGACUAACGAUCAAUUGAAGCCACGAAAGCCAGGGCCCAAACUGGGAUUAGAUACCCCACUAUGCCUGGCCCUAAAUCUUGGUACUCAACCUUACCGGAGUGCCCGCCCGAGAACUACGAGCACCAACGCUUAAAACUCUAAGGACUUGGCGGUGCCUCAAACCCACCUAGAGGAGCCUGUUCUAUAAUCGAUGAUCCACGCUAUACCUAACCAUUCCUUGCCCAAAUCAGCCUAUAUACCGCCGUCUCCAGCCCACCCACCAUGAAGGACCAACAGUGGACGCAAUAGCCUCACCCCGCUAGCAAGACAGGUCAAGGUAUAGCCUAUGGAAUGGGAGCAAUGGGCUACAUUUUCUAAGCUAGAACACUACGGCAAAGGGACAUGAAACUGUCCCUGGAAGGCGGAUUUAGCAGUAAAGUGGGACAAUCGAGCCCUCUUUAAGCCGGCCCUGAGGCAUGUACAUACCGCCCGUCGCCCUCCUCAAAAGCGA
rnacentral:rRNA from 1 species